UAGAGUUUGAUCAUGGCUCAGAUUGAACGCUGGCGGCAGGCCUAACACAUGCAAGUCGAGCGGUAGAGAGAAGCUUGCUUCUCUUGAGAGCGGCGGACGGGUGAGUAAUACCUAGGAAUCUGCCUGGUAGUGGGGGAUAACGUUCGGAAACGGACGCUAAUACCGCAUACGUCCUACGGGAGAAAGCAGGGGACCUUCGGGCCUUGCGCUAUCAGAUGAGCCUAGGUCGGAUUAGCUAGUUGGUGAGGUAAUGGCUCACCAAGGCUACGAUCCGUAACUGGUCUGAGAGGAUGAUCAGUCACACUGGAACUGAGACACGGUCCAGACUCCUACGGGAGGCAGCAGUGGGGAAUAUUGGACAAUGGGCGAAAGCCUGAUCCAGCCAUGCCGCGUGUGUGAAGAAGGUCUUCGGAUUGUAAAGCACUUUAAGUUGGGAGGAAGGACAGUAAAUUAAUACUUUGCUGUUUUGACGUUACCGACAGAAUAAGCACCGGCUAACUCUGUGCCAGCAGCCGCGGUAAUACAAUC
rnacentral:rRNA from 1 species